rnacentral:lncRNA from 1 species
GUUCUGGAAGCAAACUUAUGCUCUUUUGAACUAGCUGCAUAACAGAGAUAUCCAAACACUCUAAGAUGUGAAAGAGAAGGAGAUUGCAAAUGAAGCAUCUCAAAAGGAGACUUGUCAUGUAGAACUCUAAUGGUAGGCUAGGAGCCAAUGUUUUUAACUAUAAUUUGUACUCUAGUUACUACACUUUGAUUGGAUUUAACCCUAAUUGUUAGUACUUUGUACUUAUUACGUAUGUUAUACUGUGUAGGAUGUGAUUUCGAGUGGAGAAACAAGAUUGAAGAUAAAAUGGAUGAUUUGAAGCUUUGAAGUCUGAGUAGAAGCCCAAGAAAUUAAGUCGGGAUCAUGUUCAGGGGUCGAGGACCAAGUAUGGAAGUCAAAAAGUGAGAAAAAAGAUUACUCUAGAAAAAAUGCACUAUCGCGCCGUGCCAUGCGCCGCGGGGCAUGGGUUGCUAGUGCAAAAUUCUUACAGAGUGAAAACAAAAUCAACUCUAUGAACUUUUUCACUAAUGCGGUGCAUGGUACGCCGCCCCGGGCACUGCGCCUAUGUAAUUUCCUUAGAGUAAUUUUCCACUUCGGCUAGAAAAGGGUAGUUUUGUCGAGUCUUGUUCCUACAUGGUAUAAAUACACCAACAACGUAAUUUUUAGAGGGCUUUUGACCUUGGAAGCUUUUGGAGAGCAUUGGAGGCUACACGACACGCGAUUUUAUCAUAUUUCCAUCAAUUCAAUAUGAGAGCUUGGAUUGUAACGUUGGAUUGAUAUUUUCUUACUCUUUAAUUCUAUUUGUGAUUACCUCCUCCAUGAUUAUGGAGUAGUUUCUAUUAGGGGUUGACAUGAUUUUGUGACUCGAUUAUUAUCUAUGGAUUUGAUCAUUAUUUGAUUGCUUGAGUUUAUUAAAAGAGCUUUAACGCU